rnacentral:ncRNA from 1 species
AAAAAGUUUUAUUUAAACUUAAAAUUUUAGUUUAUUUUUAUUUUAUAUGUAAAUUUUAUUAAUUAAAAAUUUAUUUGCAGUUUAGAAUUUUAGAAAAUUAUUUAUGUAAGUUUUAUUAAUUAAUAAUAGAUUUAAUAAAAUUUGUGCCAGCAAUUGCGGUUAUACAGAUGAUUCGAUUAAAAUUUAUUGGUUAGUAAUUAAUUGUUUUAUUUAAAAUUUAUUAUUAAUAUUUUUAAGUGAAAUUAAAAUUUAAAUUUAGGUUUUUUAUUUUUAUAUGAAGUUAUUAAAAUUAGUAUUAAACUAGGAUUAGAUACCCUAUUAUUAUAAUAGUAAAUUUUUAUACCAAAUUAGUAUUAGUUAUGUUCUUAAAAAUUAAAAAAUUUGGCGGUAUUUUAGUCUAUUCAGAGGAACCUGUCCUGUAAUUGAUAAUCCACGAUUAGCUUAACUUCUUUUUAUAUUUGUAUAUCGUUGUUUUUGAAUAUUUUAUAAGAAUUAGAAUUUUCAAUAAGUAUAUGAUAGUUUAUUUCAGAUCAAGAUGCAGUUAUAAGGAAGAAGAGGUGGGUUACAUUAAAAUUAUUUUUGGUUUAGCAUCUUAAAAAUGUUAUUAAACUGGAUUUGAUAGUAAUAUUUUAUAUAUUUGAUAUAUGAUUAUAGCUCUAAAAUGUGUACAUAUUGCCCGUCGCUCUCAUUAUUUUGAGAUAAGUCGUAACAAAGUAGAUUUACUGGAAAGUGAAUCUAGAAUUAAC